AUUGAACGCUGGCGGCAGGCCUAACACAUGCAAGUCGAACGGUAACAGGAAACAGCUUGCUGUUUCGCUGACGAGUGGCGGACGGGUGAGUAAUGUCUGGGAAACUGCCUGAUGGAGGGGGAUAACUACUGGAAACGGUAGCUAAUACCGCAUAACGUCGCAAGACCAAAGAGGGGGACCUUCGGGCCUCUUGCCAUCGGAUGUGCCCAGAUGGGAUUAGCUAGUAGGUGGGGUAACGGCUCACCUAGGCGACGAUCCCUAGCUGGUCUGAGGGGAUGACCAGCCACACUGAAACUGAGACACGGUCCAGACUCCUCCGGGAGGCAGCAGUGGGGAAUAUUGCACAAUGGGCGCAAGCCUGAUGCAGCCAUGUCGCGUGUAUGAAGAAGGCCUUCGGGUUGUAAAGUACUUUCAGCGAGGAGGAAGGCGUUGUGGUUAAUAACCGCAACGAUUGACGUUACUCGCAGAAGAAGCACCGGCUAACUCCGUGCCAGCCGCCGCCGUAA
rnacentral:rRNA from 1 species